rnacentral:rRNA from 1 species
AGCAGUAGCCACGGUAAUACGUAGGGUGCGAGCGUUAAUCGGAUUUACUGGGCGUAAAGCGUGCGUAGGCGGCUUUUUAAGUCGGAUGUGAAAUCCCUGAGCUUAACUUAGGAAUUGCAUUCGAUACUGGGAAGCUAGAGUAUGGGAGAGGAUGGUAGAAUUCCAGGUGUAGCGGUGAAAUGCGUAGAGAUCUGGAGGAAUACCGAUGGCGAAGGCAGCCAUCUGGCCUAAUACUGACGCUGAGGUACGAAAGCAUGGGGAGCAAACAGGAUUAGAUACCCCCGUAGUCCCUGUCUCUUAUAC